GAUGAACGCUAGCUACAGGCUUAACACAUGCAAGUCGAGGGGAAACGACAUCGAAAGCUUGCUUUUGAUGGGUGUCGACCGGCGCACGGGUGAGUAACGCGUAUCCAACCUGCCCACCACUUGGGGAUAACCUUGCGAAAGUAAGACUAAUACCCAAUGACGUCUCUAGAAGACAUCUGAAAGGGAUUAAAGAUUUAUCGGUGAUGGAUGGGGAUGCGUCUGAUUAGCUUGUUGGCGGGGUAACGGCCCACCAAGGCAACGAUCAGUAGGGGUUCUGAGAGGAAGGUCCCCCACAUUGGAACUGAGACACGGUCCAAAACUCCUACGGGAGGCAGCAGUGAGGAAUAUUGGUCAAUGGGCGAGAGCCUGAACCAGCCAAGUAGCGUGCAGGAUGACGGCCCUAUGGGUUGUAAACUGCUUUUAUAAGGGAAUAAAGUGGGUCACGUGUGACUUUUUGCAUGUACCUUAUGAAUAAGGACCGGCUAAAUUCCGUG
rnacentral:rRNA from 1 species